AACGGCCGGUCCCCCGCCCGGUCCUGCCCGUACGUCGCCAGCAGGGCCUGUGCCUC
rnacentral:ncRNA from 1 species